rnacentral:rRNA from 1 species
GGAUUGAUACCCUAUUAUACUUAUUAUUAUUAAAUUAGUAUAUGUUGUGAAAUUUAAUUAUUUUGGCGGUUAAUUAUUUAUUAGAGGAGCUUGUAAAUUUUAAUUGAGAAUUUACUCUUUAUAUCUUACUAAAAAGGUCGGUUUAUUCAUCUCCGUUAUUAAAAGAAUAUUUUAAUAAAUAUUUUUUGAUAUUUCAGGUCAAGAUGUAGCAUUUAUUAAAAUUUAUUAGCUACAGUUUAUUAUAAAUGGAUAAAAUUUUUAUGAAAGGGAGUUUGAAAUUGAAUUUAAUUGUAAUAAAUAAUUAUAAAUUUACUAGAAGUUUGUAUAAUUAAUGUACAUAUC